rnacentral:rRNA from 1 species
UACGUAGGCAGCGAGCGUUGUUCGGAGUUACUGGGCGUAAAGGGUGUGUAGGCGGUUGUUUAAGUUUGGUGUGAAAUCUCCCCGGCUCAACUGGGAGGGUGCGCCGAAUACUGAAUGACUUGGAGUGCGGGAGAGGUGAGUGGAAUUCCUGGUGUAGCGGUGAAAUGCGUAGAUAUCAGGAGGAACACCAGUGGCGAAAACGGCGACCUGGACGGACACUGACGCUGAGACGCGAAAGCGUGGGGAGCAAACAGG